CGCUGAAGCCUUUGGGUGGUACCUGCUCACGCUCAAAACAAGGGUUUAUAUCUCAUACGCUCUAACACUCAGCUAUGCUCCAAAUCCAUCACCACACCAGUCAACAAAACAGUCGUCACCGCCCUCCAUCGCCUUCCCCUCUGCCGCCAACAAAACAGCCUCGCACAGCCCCCUCCUCGCCGUUCACACAGUCGCCCCCCCUGCCUUUCGCUUUGGUCGCCGUCAGUAUGUAUAUACACAGCAGGGGAAGGUCGCCGGUCGCUGUUAAAAUCUCCGGUCUCCAUCGUCACAAGUGAAGCAUUUCGAUUACAAGUGAAAUAGGUGAUAUUUGACAUCGUCACAAGAGUAAAGCACAAGCUCUUUGUGGUUAAGGAUUUUUUUGUUCAGAUUGUGCAAGCACUUCUUGUCUACCACGGUUGUACAUAAGAGUUGGCAUAGGCACUAUCAAAUCCUCAUGAAAUGGGAUCUUACGAAAUGUAUCUCUUCUUUUUGGGGUAAUGCAUUUAAUGUCAUAGAAAAAGAUUUAUGCCGGUUAAUGAUGCAUUACUGUCAUUAUUAAGUGUAUAAAACAAAUAUUAACUUCAAAUGUUUUAC